rnacentral:rRNA from 1 species
AGUGAACGCUGGCGGUAGGCCUAACACAUGCAAGUCGAACGGCAGCACAGUAAGAGCUUGCUCUUACGGGUGGCGAGUGGCGGACGGGUGAGGAAUACAUCGGAAUCUACUUUUUCGUGGGGGAUAACGUAGGGAAACUUACGCUAAUACCGCAUACGACCUACGGGUGAAAACAGGGGAUCUUCGGACCUUGCGCGAUUGAAUGAGCCGAUGUCGGAUUAGCUAGUUGGCGGGGUAAAGGCCCACCAAGGCGACGAUCCGUAGCUGGUCUGGGAGGAUGAUCAGCCACACUGGAACUGAGACACGGUCCAGACUCCUACGGGAGGCAGCAGUGGGGAAUAUUGGACAAUGGGCGCAAGCCUGAUCCAGCCAUACCGCGUGGGUGAAGAAGGCCUUCGGGUUGUAAAGCCCUUUUGUUGGGAAAGAAAAGCAGCAGGUUAAUACCCCGCUGUUCUGACGGUACCCAAAGAAUAAGCACCGGCUAACUUCGUG